UAUAGGCUAGGGGUGUACUUCAAGUGGUAAAGCACACGCUUUGCAAGCACAAACUUGCACCGCCCCCCCCCCCCCCCCCCAUGAAACAACCACCUAGUAGAGCGAGCAGGAACUCCAGGACUCUUUUGUCUGAAACUUUCCCAGGUGCCUUUUUAGCCCAGGGCACCAUUUUUUCUUUUCUUUAAACAAAAAGGUUUCCGGGCAGUUUACAGUCACUCUACUGUGGGUGAAUAUAGUCUUUAGAAUAGUUGGGGAAGAAGGGCGUUUGCCGGACGUUCCUGCUGGAUGAGAAGACUAUUUUUAGCCAGGUACACACCUUUAAUCAAAACACACCGGGAGUCAGGGCAGUCUCUGACUUUGAGAACAGCCUAGUCUACAUUACAAGCUCCAGACCAAGAAAAAAAGUUUCUGACUUAUUUUAGUACAUGGCUUCAUAAGUAUAUUUUUUUUAAAAAUCGGUUGAAUGGAUUAAUACUUAGACAACUUCUAGUUUACAUAUUUCUUGCUUUCUUAAACUAUCUAUUCUUCUUACAUAUUUAACUAAAGUUGUUAUAUAAAUAUAUUUAUCACAUCUGACUUACUGGUAUGUAAAAAAAUAUUAUACAAAAAUCCCUUUUUAGGGCCAAGAGAGAGAUGUUCAACUGUUAAGAGCACUUACUGUUCGGUCAGAACCAGAAUUCAGUUCCCAGCACCCACAUUGGCAGCUCACUAAUGCCCCAGGGGUGCUAGGGUAGGGGGGGAUAGGGUCUGAUGCCCCCUCCUGGCCUCAGUGGGCACAUAUAAAAGUAAAAUAACAUAAACGUAUAUGCACCAGGCAUGCUGGUCAUACAUUUGAGUUUCUGGUCAGCCUGGGCAAUAUAAGACCCUGUCUUCUAGAAAAAUAAAAAAUGUGGGACUGGAGAGAUGGCUCAGUGGUUAAGAGCACUGGUUGCUCUUCCAGAGGUUCUGAGUUCAAUUCCUGGUGGCUCACAACCAUCUGUAAUGGAAUCCGAUGCCCUCUUCUGGUGUGUCUGAAAACAACUGCAUAAUACUCAUAUAAAUAAAAUAAAUCUUUAAAAAAAAAAUCUCUACUCAGGCCUGAGGUGUAACCAAUGUGGCUUUAAAAGAACACAACUGGGGGUUGGGGAUUUAGCUCAGUGGUAGAGCGCUUGCCUAGCAAGCGCAAGGCCCUGGGUUCGGUCCCCAGCUCCGAAAAAAAGAAAAGAAAAAAAAAAAGAACACAAC
rnacentral:lncRNA from 1 species